rnacentral:rRNA from 1 species
UACGGAAGGGGCGAGCGUUGUUCGGAGUUACUGGGCGUAAAGGGCGCGUAGGCGGCGAUCCAAGUUAGGCGUGAAAGCCCCGGGCUUAACCUGGGAAUUGCGCUUAAGACUGGACUGCUUGAGUGCGGGAGAGGUGAGUGGAAUUCCCAGUGUAGAGGUGAAAUUCGUAGAUAUUGGGAAGAACACCAGUGGCGAAGGCGGCUCACUGGCCCGCAACUGACGCUGAGGCGCGAAAGCGUGGGGAGCAAACAGG